AUAAAAUUUCCCAGUUGUCAAUCUCUUUUCCUUUCCAUAAUUCCUAGCAAAUAUGACUGGCAUUCUUUCUUUAAAAUAAAUCAGCGACGUAAAUCUCGUGAUUUCGUAUCCCUUCUAAAACAACCAAUUUAAUUGCAUUAUUUGAUCCAUUCAUGCCCUAUCACUCCUUACGAACUCCUUCAAAAGUCAGCCUCCUCUGUCAUUACCUUCAAAACUCCCGACGAGUUUGCCGCCGCAACCACCGGUUCGAACCUAUCUCGCCAGUUUGUUUCACAGGUGGGUUGUCUGGUUUGAGCCGAGUCUAAACCGUUGAGCGCCACCAUCGCGAUUGAUCGAGUAUCCGCCACCAUUGUCGUGUUCUUUAGGCGUCUUCGUUCGGUCACUCAGAAGCUCGAAAUCGUUUGGUUUUGCUCAAAUUUGUUUGAAAAGUAAGUUGCUUGAUCUCGUUGUUGAUAGACGCAAACUGAACACCACCGGCGUUAACCUAGCUAAACCACCGUAGGGUUUUUCUUUGAUCACUAGUGACUACAUUGAUUUCCAUUCGUGUCUUAAGGUUUUCGUGUUAAUUGAGGACGUUCUUGAAUUUCGUGUUGUUACGUUUAAGCUAAGGUACUCAGGGAAAUCGGGGAAAUGUGUGAAGAGUGAUAAUAAAAAGCUAGAGUUGGAACAAGGAGUUUAAUAAAACCUUAUAUUCAAUAAAUUUAGACACUUAUGUUUUUCGGUUAAGACCAUUAUGUCAUUUUGGGGGAUUUUGUUUUUAAACCUAUGGAAUUUAUGUUUUAAUUAAGUUAUUAAUUGUC